rnacentral:rRNA from 1 species
UACGGAGGGUGCGAACGUUAAUCGGAAUCACUGGGCGUAAAGCGCGCGUAGGCGGUUCGUUAAGUGGGAUGUGAAAUCCCCGGGCUUAACCUGGGAAUUGCAUUUCAAACCGGCCGACUAGAGUACGGUAGAGGGAGGUAGAAUUUCCUGUGUAGCGGUGAAAUGCGUAGAUAUAGGAAGGAAUACCAGUGGCGAAGGCGGCCUCCUGGAUCGAUACUGACGCUGAGGCGCGAAAGCGUGGGGAGCAAACAGG